UAUGUGGUGAAUCCGGACAGUCAGUUGCAGGGUAUGUGGAAACUGAUAAUCUAUGAAAUUGUAUAGUGAAUGGCAAUUAACUGAAUUAAGUAGCAACCACUUUUCAAUGGCAAUCAAGUAAAAAAGAAAGCUUGCUUGAGGUAGCUAUAUGCAUUUUGUUAAAACCAAUUUGUUUCCUUGCUUCUUCGGAGGCAUUCCGGGCAAUGUUUGAUGGUGGUUACAAGUUUGAUGCAUUGUUAUGUGUAAGGAGAAAGAUGCUAGAGAUGCCAAGAUUCCAAAUAUUAGAUGGGAAACAUUUGAGUUAAUGAUGAGGUUAUGUGGCAAGAUAGCAAGAUUAUGGAAUUAUAUGAGCAAGGGAGAUUUUUGGGUAAUCAUGGGUUCUUUUGAUGCUGAAAAUGGCAUGGCUGGAGCUUGUGGAAAGGGUUAGGGGAAUAUGAUCUCGAAGUACUCAUAUACCAUAAGAGGAGUCGACAAGAUAUGUAACAUGUAACCAGGGCCUCCACUUACAAUAAAAGGCAUUCGGUGAACUUUAUCAAACAGGAUUUUGGUAGAGUAAGUCUUCUCAUAUUAUGACCAUCAUUGUCUUUCAUUCACUUACUGUUGCAGUCAAUAGCCGUCUAUGGUCAUAACUUUAGGUUUCGUUCCAAUGGUGUGAAAUUAGCUAUUUUUGUUACCAGGACAUAUAUGACAUCAUAAUACGGAGUAGUAACAUAAAAACUCUUAAGAAAACCGCAGGAACUGAGAAAUCAAUUGAUGCGUAUGUGUGCUACUGUUCAAACACAGGAAUUUUUUAUUUCAUGUCACCCAUUCGCCUUCUGAUACAUGUAACCCGUGUGUACAGAAGGAAAUCAAAAUAACCUGUUUCGGGUAUAAGAAUCAAUAUAUCAAAAAAUUGUGAAGAUCGGAAGCUACAGUUGACCCUCUUAACACAUGUUAGAGUGUCCCAGGUGGAAUAAUGUUCAAACUCGGUUACUGUGUAGUGGGAUUUCCCUAAGAAUUUAAGGAAAAUUUCUAGGCCCCUCAUGAGCAAGAUACCAAAAACUAUCUGCUAGAAGUUAGCUUAGAAUUCAAUAUGAUUAGCUUUUUAAGAAAUAACGAACUAUACUUUUUAUUAUGACAAUCAUGAAGUAUUGCCCUUCAUGAGUCGUUGGCUUCUAAAAUGGCGGCCCGUCGGCCCUGGGCUCUUUACAACAGUUCCAAUCAGGUAAUCAUUAAAGAUGUUGUGGAUAGUAACCCAUCAUUAAAGAUGUUUUUGUGCUUACUUUGUGGGCUGUUGCUAGAUGCCUAGAUCAUAGAAACCUCAAACCUGGACUUACGAUGAUGAUCUACCAUCUUCAUGGACAAACCUGCAGCAUCAUAUGGUGCUUCCAUCAACAAAAGAAGUUAUAGAGUUAAAGCCUUAUGUAACAACCCUCCCGAACCUUAUGUCAGAACCCGCUGCAAGUGUGGGGAUAAAUA